CCUGGGAGGAAAGAAAAGGUGAGUGGACAGCAUGGUGGGUGUACAGGCAGGCCCAGCUCUGGAUACCAACCUUGGACUGGUGCCAGGAAGGCACGAGCAGCCUCUGAACACACCCAGGGCACCAGCAGGCAUACAUCUUGUCAGGUGUGGCUGGCAGACCUCACUUUACAGAGGCAGGGGCAAUCCCCCCCCCCCCCCCCGGGACUGGAUGAUGAGGGGGUCCCUUCACUCAAUCUUGAGGUUCUUUUCAUUCAGGAGUGGGCCGCAGAGCUAAUUUGACAUGGACUCCCCCCAAGCCAGCCUUAACCCUCGGACCGAAGGGUGAGUCAGGGGCCGGCGCUCCUCUCCCCCGCCCCCAGGUCCCGACAGGCAGGCCUCGCAGAAGCCUGCUCGGACUAUAUAAGGCGUGUAAGCUGACACUGUGCGGAGCCAGCGGAGGGAGCACACGGGGGCUCGGGACGCGAGGGGGAGGGGUGGGGAAGGAGGCAGCUGGAGCGGGUCCUGGCCAUUCCCAGACGGGUCGAGGCUGAUGAGGACUCCCAGGCGCUGGGGGCGGCACAGAGGGGCCGUGGCCCCUAUGGAAAUCAGAGAAGGCUAGGACCCCAAAGCGUGGCCAGGUCCAUCGUGAGGAUAGGCGUUGUUCCGCGGAAGGUGCAAGCCAUCAGCGGCUCCAGAAUUUCUAAACCGGAAGGACUUGCGGGUGUGGAGCACAUGGAGGAGCUUCCCAGCAGACGUCUAUCUGGAUUGCCUGGAUCCUGGGCCCAACAGAGAGCUGGGCACGGAGUGAGCUGCUUCUCCUUGGCAGACUCCUUGCGAGCUGAGAAAAGAAGCAGAUGUCAGAGACAUGCCAAAGCAGUGCACCAAAUUGAGCCUUCCCGCUGCUUCCCAGCACACCUUCAGCCUUCUCUUUAAGGUGCUGGUGCUGAUCCAGGAGGCUGACGUUGGACUGUGGGCCCAGAGGGAUGUCGUCCUCAUCUCCCCGGGGCUCGCUGCCGCUGUCCUGCAGCUCCUCCUCUGCAGCUCCUUUGCGCCUUCGUUGCAAUAGCUUCUGGAGCUGAGGUUCCACCAGCGCCCCUCAGAGCCAAGCCCAAGACAAAGCGGAGUAUCGGGCCAGGGGGCUUGCGUCAGGAUCUUGGCUUUUGGGAGAGGGUCCUGUGCCACGCGACAUGGAGGUGCCCUACCCCUCAGAUCAGACUGGAAGUCCCUAGUUUGCCUGGGGGCCACGGUCCCAACUACUGACAGCUCACUCCACUGGAUGCCACCCUCCCUCCCACACCCUCAUUUCUCUUCCGACCCGAGGCCCUCACCAACAGUUGCCGCCGCUGUCGCAAAGGCACGUAAGGCACGUAAUCUUCGUCGUCCUCAUCCUCCGCCUCGGAGCGGCUUCCUGUGGCAGUCGCUUCAUCUGUGCGAACCCGCUACAGAUACACAUGAAUCAGGCCCAGGCCCCCGCUUUCACAGCUGCUUGCCACCCGCACCGACCCCUACCUCGCUCCCACCUUCCGUUCAGGUUCCGAGUCCUCCAUCCUUUGCUGUACGCAGGCGCGCUACGGUAAAACCCCGCCUCAAUUUUUGCGUGAGAUCCAAUCAGAUGUGAGGAGGCGGAAGGUCGGCACCUAGCAACGACCUCUGAGUGCCGGAUCGCGCAGAGGGACAAACUUUCCCGAGACCCUGUCAGGCAGUGCAGCGUCAAAGUACCCUUGGGCGGCUGCGCAUUUGUUGCCAGGGGCGAGGGCGAAGCGUCAUACAAUGCAUUAUGGGACGCUGGAGGACUUGGAGCAUGCGCUAAAAGCUCAAACGAAGCCUGGUGGAAGGUCCCACGAGUGGAGAUACAGAAGAGACCCGCCUACCGGAGGCCUAGCUUCGCCCAGAGCCUGACGUCAUCUGGCACGUUCCGAGACUGGGCCAGCUGGGACCCCACCGGGGACUCCAUCCCGGGCACGGGGCGCGGGUAACGAAUCAACUUGCACUGCAGCUCUGACUGGCGUCCUUAUCUAUGUGACAACACGUAAAGCAGCUCCUUGAUCAGACCUGCAAUUUUUGAAUGAUGAAGCAGAAUUUUAGAUAAUUAUGCCAGUUCAGUUGCAGCACGGGAGCCUGGUGCAAGAGUUGAAAGGAAAGAAGAACAAAGGUCUCAGCUUGGUUGCCACCUCUACUAGGAAGGCUGCCCUGGCCUCGCCUACGUUUCAGCUUCGCCUGUCGCCCCACUUCUAGCUGCCUCCCCCACAGCCCCAUACCCUUACUCUUCCAACAGCACUCAACAUUGUUUAUGGCUCUCUCUCCCCACCUAAGCCGUGUUUGAUUUGCCUCUACCCUAGAGCUCAGCCCAGGCAGAGCAGAGAAAGUGCAAAUGAAUAAACAAAGUGAAUAAAGCUGGAGAAAGCCCUGGUUCUUGGGGCCUGACAUGC